rnacentral:rRNA from 1 species
GCGUUGUCCGGAAUUACUGGGCGUAAAGCGCGCGCAGGCGGCUUUUCAAGCGCCACGUGAAAGCCCCGGGCUCAACCCGGGAGGGUCGUGGUGAACUGGAAAACUUGAGGCCGGUAGAGGUGGGUAGAAUUCCUGGUGGAGUGGUGAAAUGCGUAGAGAUCAGGAAGAAUACCCGUGGCGAAGGCGGCCCACUGGGCCGGACCUGACGCUGAGGCGCGAAGGCGUG